GUGCUCACUUUGGCAGCACGUAUACUAAAAUUGGAAUGAUACAGAGAUUAGCAUGGCUCCUGCACAGGAUGACAUGCCAAGUGUGUGCUCACUCUCUCUCUCUCU
rnacentral:snRNA from 1 species